AAGCGGGUAAAACUAGUGUUGGUGAUGCAGUAGAUGGAGCUAUUAAAAUUCUUACUAUUGCGGUCACCAUUGUUGUAGUUGCAGUGCCUGAAGGACUUCCCUUAGCUGUUACCUUAACUCUUGCCUACUCUAUGAGAAAAAUGAUGGCAGAUAGGGCCUUGGUGCGUAGACUUUCUGCCUGUGAAACCAUGGGUUCUGCAACAACCAUUUGCAGUGACAAGACUGGAACUUUAACCCUGAAUCAGAUGACUGUUGUUGCUGCUUAUGCUGGUAGCAAAAAAAUUGAUCCUCCAGAAAAGAAGUCCCAAUUGUCUCCUAAACUGUCCUCUUUACUUAUUGAAGGCGUUGCACAGAAUACAAAUGGCAGUGUUUUUAUCCCUGAGGGUGGAGGAGACGUAGAGGUUUCUGGAUCACCAACAGAGAAAGCCAUUCUUGUUUGGGGAGUUAAGGUUUCUUUUGUAACUUCAUCUUGUUUGUUAACUAGCGAUCAGAAUCAACUGUUAUUCAUGUUUUCCCAUUCAACUCACAGAAAAAAA
rnacentral:misc_RNA from 1 species